rnacentral:rRNA from 1 species
UAGGGAAUCUUCGGCAAUGGGGGGAACCCUGACCGAGCAACGCCGCGUGAGUGAAGAAGGUUUUCGGAUCGUAAAGCUCUGUUGUUAAGGAAGAACGAGUGUGAGAAUGGAAAGUUCAUGCUGUGACGGUACUUAACCAGAAAGGGACGGCUAACUACGUGCCAGCAGCCGCGGUAAUACGUAGGUCCCGAGCGUUGUCCGGAUUUAUUGGGCGUAAAGCGAGCGCAGGCGGUUAGAAAAGUCUGAAGUGAAAGGCAGUGGCUCAACCAUUGUAGGCUUUGGAAACUGUUUAACUUGAGUGCAGAAGGGGAGAGUGGAAUUCCAUGUGUAGCGGUGAAAUGCGUAGAUAUAUGGAGGAACACCGGUGACGAAAGCGGCUCUCUGGUCUGUAACUGACGCUGAGGCUCGAAAGCGUGGGGAGCGAACAGGAUUAGAUACCCUGGUAGUCCACGCCGUAAACGAUGAGUGCUAGGUGUUAGGUCCUUUCCGGGACUUAGUGCCGCAGCUAACGCAUUAAGCACUCCGCCUGGGGAGUACGACCGCAAGGUUG